AACGAACGCUGGCGGCAGGCCUAACACAUGCAAGUCGAGCGAGGACUUCGGUCCUAGCGGCGGACGGGUGAGUAACGCGUGGGAACGUGCCCUUUGCUUCGGAAUAGCCCUGGGAAACUGGGCGUAAUACCGGAUGAGCCCUUUGGGGGAAAGAUUUAUCGGCGAAGGAUCGGCCCGCGUUGGAUUAGGUAUUUGGUGGGGUAAUGGCCUACCACGCCGACGAUCCAUAGCUGGGUUGAGAGGAUGAUCAGACACACUGGGACUGGGACACGGCCCAGACUCCUACGGGAGGCAGCAGUGGGGAAUCUUAGACAAUGGGGGAAACCCUGAUCUAGCCAUGCCGCGUGAGCGAUGAAGGCCUUAGCGGUGUAAAGCUCUGUCAGAUGGGAAGAUAAUGACGGUCCCAGCAGAAGAAGCCCCGGCUAAAUCCGUG
rnacentral:rRNA from 1 species